rnacentral:rRNA from 1 species
GUGAGGAAUUUUGCGCAAUGGGGGCAACCCUGACGCAGCGACGCCGCGUGGAGGACGAAGUCUUUCGGGAUGUAAACUCCUGUCAGUGGGGACGAUAAUGACGGUACCCACAGAGGAAGCACCGGCUAACUUCGUGCCAGCAGCCGCGGUAAGACGGAGGGUGCAAGCGUUGUUCGGAAUUACUGGGCGUAAAGCGUACGUAGGCGGCAAGUUAAGUUCAAUGUUAAAGCCCACGGCUCAACCGAGGAGAUGCAUUGAAUACUGGCUAGCUAGAGGGUGUUAGAGGAAGACGGAAUUCCCAGUGUAGCGGUGAAAUGAGUAGAUAUUGGGAGGAACAUCGGUAGCGAAAGCGGUCUUCUGGGACACACCUGACGCUGAGGUACGAAAGCGUGGGGAGCAAACGGGAUUAGAUACCCGUGUAGUCC